UACAGAGGGUGCAAGCGUUAAUCGGAAUUACUGGGCGUAAAGCGUGCGCAGGCGGUGAUGUAAGACAGAUGUGAAAUCCCCGGGCUCAACCUGGGAACUGCAUUUGUGACUGCAUCGCUGGAGUGCGGCAGAGGGGGAUGGAAUUCCGCGUGUAGCAGUGAAAUGCGUAGAUAUCUGGAGGAAUACCGGUGGCGAAGGCGGCAUCCUGGACCGGCAUUGACGCUGAUGAGCGAAAGCUAGGGGAGCAAACGGG
rnacentral:rRNA from 1 species